CUCUGACAUGACGGACAGGUCGUUCGAUUCUCCGACGUGGAGACCGAGACUGCAGUAGAACGUCAAGAGAAAUCUUUUUUCAGAUACUAGCCUGGGUGCUGCUAAGAACUUAGCAAAAGAAGCACAAGGUAGAAUUCAAACUUUUCACUGAGUUUGCCCUAACGGGCAGUUAUGGAGCCAAGGAAACCCUACCCUCCAGCAAGGAGCCUGCUUUCAAAGCUGCACUACUCAGAAACCAAUGAAGAACAGUUUAGUCAAAAGCCACACACUGUCAAUAAAAAAACAGAACUAGCAGCAACAAGCAUAUCACAGCCCCUCUGACAUUUCAAUACCCUAAUCAACCAACUGCCAUCAGAUG